GUGUCAGCAGCCGCGGUAAUACAGAGGGGGCAAGCGUUAUUCGGAAUUAUUGGGCGUAAAGGGCGCGUAGGCGGCUUGGCAAGUGGAUGGUGAAAUCCCUCGGCUUAACCGAGGAACUGCCGUCCAAACUGCUUUGCUUGAGGCCGGGAGAGGCGAGUGGAAUUCCCAGUGUAGCGGUGAAAUGCGUAGAUAUUGGGAGGAACACCAGUGGCGAAGGCGGCUCGCUGGACCGGUUCUGACGCUGAUGCGCGAAAGCGUGGGGAGCAAACGGGAUUAGAUACCCCAGUAGUCC
rnacentral:rRNA from 1 species